rnacentral:rRNA from 1 species
AACCCUUAUUGCUAGUUACCAUCAUUAAGUUGGGGGACUCUAGCGAGACUGCCAGUGAUAAACUGGAGGAAGGUGGGGAUGACGUCAAAUCAUCAUGCCCCUUAUGACCUGGGCUACAAACGUGAUACAAUGGCUGAAACAAAGGGCAGCGAAGCAGUGAUGUGGAGCGAAACCCAAAAAAGCAGUCUCAGUUCGGAUUGAAGUCUGCAACUCGACUUCAUGAAGUUGGAAUCGCUAGUAAUCGUAGAUCAGAACGCUACGGUGAAUACGUUCUCGGGCCUU